CAUGGAAGACGCACUAAUACUGAGCUUACUCCCAUUUGCACGAUUUCACCUCUACCUGUCUAGCAGGAGUGGUGAAUUGUGCGGCUGGGGGUGAGCAUCUUUAUUCAAUCGAUAUUUUACAAACAUUAUAACUGAAUUUGUUAGCGCCACAGGGCUGGCUCUUACUGGCAAAAACUUAUACUAUGGAUAUGCGUUUAUAUUGACAACAGCGGCAAUUGGAGAAUUUCACACGGAUCGGCAGGCACACAAUCUGGAGUGGGUACAUCUAUAGGCUUCGAGUGGCAGAGGCAAUUUUUGUUGCUCACGAGGUCACAGUCCAUUGGAGGUGACCUGAAAACUGCAACGGCCUUAUUAUGGCAGGCAGCCCACGACAUCCAGUACUUCAGGAUCAGAUGUAUCGGAAAGUGUGCUGCCGGCCGCAAGUGGUGGUAUGACAAGUGAGGAAUGGCUGGCUGCCAAUAGGACAGUGUCGUCUGUUAUCAGGUGAAUUUGAAGUCAUAGGCGUAGCAGCAGCUGCAGGCCUCGGCAAUGCCUGAAUUGAAAUGUGUCCGACAGCUGCGGAUGUGAAACAAGCCGCAGAUGGCGCUGUGGCUGGUAAU